rnacentral:tRNA from 1 species
AGUUCUAUAGCUUAAGGGUUAGAGUAGGGAAUUCAUAUUUCCAAGGUUAUAGGUUCGAAUCCUAUUAGAACUA